UACGUAGGGUGCAAGCGUUGUCCGGAAUUAUUGGGCGUAAAGAGCGUGUAGGCGGCCAGAUAAGUCCGCUGUGAAAUCUCGAGGCUCAACUUCGAGCUGUCGGUGGAAACUGUCUGGCUAGAGUCCGGAAGAGGAGAAUGGAAUUCCUGGUGUAGCGGUGAAAUGCGCAGAUAUCAGGAAGAACACCCGUGGCGAAGGCGGUUCUCUGGGACGUGACUGACGCUGAGACGCGAAAGCGUGGGGAGCGAACAGG
rnacentral:rRNA from 1 species